rnacentral:rRNA from 1 species
CAGCAGCCGCGGUAAUACGUAGGUGGCAAGCGUUGUCCGGAAUUAUUGGGCGUAAAGGGCUCGCAGGCGGUUUCUUAAGUCUGAUGUGAAAGCCCCCGGCUCAACCGGGGAGGGUCAUUGGAAACUGGGAAACUUGAGUGCAGAAGAGGAGAGUGGAAUUCCACGUGUAGCGGUGAAAUGCGUAGAGAUGUGGAGGAACACCAGUGGCGAAGGCGACUCUCUAGUCUGUAACUGGCGCUGAGGAGCGAAAGCGUGGGGAGCGAACAGGAUUAGAUACCCCAGUAGUCCCUGUCUCUUAUAC